GUUUUUUUCAGGAAUGAAAGGUUGGUUUAACAUAUCGUGCCAUCAAUGUAAUGUACCAUAUUAACAGACUAAAAAAGUAAAACCAUAUUAUCAUCUCAAUGGAUGCAGGGUAAGCACUUGACGAGACCCAACAUCUAUUUUUGAUAAAAAUUCUCAGCAAACUAGAAAGAAAAGAACUAGCUCAAUCUGUUAAAGGACAUCUAAGAAAAACCCACAGCUAAUGUACUUAAAGAUGAAAGACAAUGCUUUCCUCCUAAGAUCAUGAACAAGACAAGGAUGUCCUCUCUCCACUUCUAUUCAACAUUGUACUGGAGGUUCUAGCCAGUGCAAUAAGCCAAGAAACAGAAACAAAAAGCACCCAGAUAGGAAAGAAAACAAACUGUUUUUGUUCACAGACAACAUGAUUGUCUAUGUAGAAUACUCAACGGUCUUACAAAAAGUUACUAGAAUUAAUAAGUGAGUGUAGCAGUUUUGCUUUUUGUUUUGAUUAAUAUUCAAAAAUUAAUUGUAUUUUUAUAUACUAGUAAUAAACAAUUGGAAAUUUAAAAAAUUUUAAUACCAUAUAUAGCCUGGUACAGUGGCUCACACCUAUAGUCCCAGCACUUUGGGAGGUCAAGGUGGGAGGAUCGCUUCAGUACAGGAGUCCAAGACCAGCCUAGGCAACAUAGUGAGAUCCCGUGUCUACACAAAAAUAAAAAUAUUCAGGCAUAGUGGCACAUGUCUGUAGUGCCAGAGCUACUUGAGAAGCUGAGGACUACAGGUGCCCACCACUGCACUGAGCUGAUUUUGUUUUUUUUUUUGGUCGAGACGGGAUGUUGCUAUGUUGCCCAGGCUGGUUUUGAACUCCUAGGCUCAAGUGAUCCUCUUGCCUCUGCCUCCUAAAGUGCUGGGAUUACAUGCAUGAGCCAUUGUGCCCAGCCUAGAACCACUACCAUUAGAAGUAAUAGAAGAUGACAUCUAUUGAAAAUAUCCCUGUCUCAGCCAGGUGCAGUGGCUCAUGCCUCUAAUCCCAGCACUUUUGGAGGCUGAGUGAGUGGAUCAUUUGAGGUCAAGAGUUCGAGACCAGCCUGGCCAACAUGAUGAAACCCUGUCUCUACUAAAAAUACAAAAAUUAGCUGAACUUGGUGACACAUGCUUGCAAUCCCAGCUACUCAGGAGGCUGAGGCAGGAGAAUCACUUGACUCCAGGAGACAGAGGUUGCAGUAAGCCAAGAUCAUGCCACAGCACUCCAGCCUGAGCAACAGAGCAAGACUCCAUCUCAAAAAAAAAAAAAAUCCCUGUCUCAAACUCCUGCUUUCCAGGUAGAUGGAGCGGGAUAAUGUGCUUUAAUUGGUGAAGGGUUUCUGAUCCCCAUUUAUCAUGCAGAAGGCAGGAGCAAGCCAGAGACAGGUCCUGGCGAAAGGAAGCUAAAAUGGUGCCUUUGAUACAGGGGAAAGGGAUACGAAAGGGGCUUAGGUGAGACCUCCUUACAGCUAGUGGCACCUGGUCAGCAGGGCCGUAGAGUUGAGGCCAUCCCCUUAGCAGCAGUGGGACUUUGUUACACACACCCUCUGAGUCUUGGUGAGAAACUAGUCCCAGGGCCCCUUGUUGUCUCUGCCACUCCCAUUCAUGACAUCAUGGAAACUUCUGUGCGGCUGGGCUCCUGAACACAGCAGCCUGCCCUCGGCUGGAUGAGGCAGCCAAAACCCUAAAAGGGUUGUGAUAGGGACUGGAGUCAACAAGUAGCUGUGGGAACGUGGUGGCGCAGACCCUUCACCCAGGGAGCCCUGUGGGCUAGAAACACCAGACAGCCAGGAUGUGGCGAGAGACUGCCCAACACACUGUCUGUGUGAGGCAGAGGAAGGAAGGAGAUGAAGGAAGAAACAGGUAGGUAGGAGGGCGAGAUCCCAAGCAAGUCAGGACAACUCCCACGCCUUGCCCAGG
rnacentral:lncRNA from 10 species